rnacentral:Y_RNA from 1 species
GGUUGGUCUGAAGGUAGUGAGUUAUCUCACUUGAGUGUUCAUAGUCAAUUACAGAUUUAACUUGUUCGGCUAUUUCCCCCCUUUUCUCACCACUGCACUUAACUAGUCUUAA